GACGAACGCUGGCGGCGUGCUUAACACAUGCAAGUCGAGCGGUAAGGCCCUUUCGGGGGUACGACGAGCGGCGAACGGGUGAGUAACACGUGGGUGACCUGCCCUCAGCUCUGGGAUAAGCCUGGGAAACCGGGUCUAAUACUGGAUAUGACUCCAUGACGCAUGUUGUGGGGUGGAAAGCCUUGUGCGGCUGAGGAUGGGCCCGCGGCCUAUCAGCUUGUUGGUGGGGGAUGGCCUACCAAGGCGACGACGGGUAGCCGGCCUGAGAGGGCGACCGGCCACACUGGGACUGAGACACGGCCCAGAUUCCUACGGGAGGCAGCAGGUGGGGAAUCUUGCGCAAUGGGCGAAAGCCUGACGCAGCGACGCCGCGUGAGGGAUGACGGCCU
rnacentral:rRNA from 1 species